CCUACGGGAGGCAGCAGUUUGGAAUAUUGGACAAUGGGGGAACCUCUGAACCAGCCAUGCCGCGUGCAGGACGACGGCCCUCUGGGUUGUAAACUGCUUUUAUGUGGGAAUAAUUUGUUCCUAUACRGAGNUAUUGACGGUACCWCAAGAAUAAGCACCGGCUAACUCCGUGCCAGCAGCCGCGGUAAUACGGAGGGUGCAAGCGUUGUCCGGAAUUAUUGGGUUUAAAGGGUGCGUAGGCGGUUUUUUAAGUCAGUGGUGAAAGCCCCGAGCUUAACUGGAGAACUGCCUUUGAUACUGGGGAACUUGAGUACKUGUGAGGURGAUAGAAUGCGUGGUGUAGCGGUGAAAUGCAUAGAUAUUCACGAGAAUACCGAUUGCGAAGGCAGUCUACUAACURUAUACUGACGCUAAUGGACGAAAGCGUGGGG
rnacentral:rRNA from 1 species